rnacentral:antisense_RNA from 1 species
UGUGGGAGCUGGCUUGCCUGCGAUAGCGGAGUGUCAGUCAGCCAGUGUUUGGCUGAUACACCGCUAUCGCAGGCAAGCCAGCUCCCACA